GCCGAGGUGGUGGAACUGGUAGACACGCUAGGUUCAGGGUCUAGUGGAUGCAAGUCCGUAGGAGUUCGACUCUCCUCCUCGGCACCA
rnacentral:tRNA from 1 species